rnacentral:rRNA from 1 species
GUGGGGAAUAUUGCACAAUGGGCGAAAGCCUGAUGCAGCGACGCCGCGUGAGCGAAGAAGUAUUUCGGUAUGUAAAGCUCUAUCAGCAGGGAAGAAGAAUGACGGUACCUGACUAAGAAGCACCGGCUAAAUACGUGCCAGCAGCCGCGGUAAUACGUAUGGUGCAAGCGUUAUCCGGAUUUACUGGGUGUAAAGGGAGCGCAGGCGGUGCGGCAAGUCUGAUGUGAAAGCCCGGGGCUCAACCCCGGUACUGCAUUGGAAACUGUCGUACUAGAGUGUCGGAGGGGUAAGUGGAAUUCCUAGUGUAGCGGUGAAAUGCGUAGAUAUUAGGAGGAACACCAGUGGCGAAGGCGGCUUACUGGACGAUAACUGACGCUGAGGCUCGAAAGCGUGGGGAGCAAACAGGAUUAGAUACCCGAGUAGUCC